rnacentral:rRNA from 1 species
CGGUGACAGGUGGUGCAUGGUUGUCGUCAGCUCGUGUCGUGAGAUGUUGGGUUAAGUCCCGCAACGAGCGCAACCCCUAUUGUUAGUUGCCAUCAUUCAGUUGGGCACUCUAGCGAGACUGCCGGUAAUAAACCGGAGGAAGGUGGGGAUGACGUCAAAUCAUCAUGCCCCUUAUGACCUGGGCUACACACGUGCUACAAUGGCUGGUACAACGAGUCGCAAGUCGGUGACGGCAAGCUAAUCUCUUAAAGCCAGUCUCAGUUCGGAUUGUAGGCUGCAACUCGCCUACAUGAAGUCGGAAUCGCUAGUAAUCGCGGAUCAGCACGCCGCGGUGAAUACGUUCCCGGGCCUUGUACACACCGCCCGUCACACCACGAGAGUUUGUAACACCCGAAGUCGGUGAGGUAACCUUUUAGGAGCCAGCCGCCUAAGGUGGGAUAGAUGAUUGGGGUGAAGUCGUAACAAGGUAGCCGUAUCGGAAGGUGCGGCUGGAUCACCUCCUUU